UUGAGCUCAACAGGAGGAGAGAGGACAACAGCAAAGUCUGCACUCACAAACAGCUCCAAGUCCGUGCUGACUUCAACACAAGGACCCGCCUCGGCGUUAAUGGAUACUCCCACCUUCGCGUGUCUUUUCUACGGCAUCUUCAAUCAUGAAACACGCAUAGGCUUUAAAUCGCUCCUCCCGCGUCCAGCCUCCCCGCGCACAGACAAGGACGGAGAUACGAGACGUGCGUACUGUCCAAACUAAUUGAAAACACGCACCGUGCAAAAGUGCAUUGGGCAGCAUGGCUAAAGAGACCAGAGCGAACGCGAACCUUCGCAAGCUCAGCUCUUCUCACUGGCGCAUGCAGAAAAUCGCCCAGGAAUCUGUUGACAGCUCAGAUGAUGAGUUUUUUGAUGCCCGUGAGGUGCUGGAGGGUAAGACGGCCAUGCUCUUUGGAAUGAGUCAAUGGAACUCUAAUGAUCUCGUCGAACAGAUAGAAACCUUGGGCCACACUGGCCAGACUCAGGAGAGCCUGUACCAUGUAAGGAGGCCAAAAUGUGUCCCCCAGACCAGCAUUGAUGGUCUAGAGGAAGCUGAGAAUAAAUGUCAACACCAUGUGCUCGUGUUAGUGGUGCAUGGGGGGAACAUACUGGAUCCAGCAGGUGGCGAGCCAGGUGCGAAGGCUGCAGAUGUGAACACCCUAUCCUCAGUGCUGGAGAAAGUGUCUCAAGCUCACUUUCAAGCUGCAGCCCAGCAUGUGGUCAUUAAGUUGGUGCCGUGCCCGGCUGUAUGUGCAGAGGCCUUCUCCCUAGUGUCCAAUCUAAAUCCUUACAGCUAUGAUGAAAGUUGUGUGUCCAGCAGCGUAGAUCAUCUGCCUCUGGCUGCCUUACCUUUGCUUGCCAUAGCUGCUCCACACUACCAAGAUGCCGUGGGAACCGUAAUUGCCCGGGCCAACCAAGUGUACCACAGCUUUCUGCAGUCUCCAGACGGACAGGGUUUCAGGGGGCAGGUUUGUUUGUUGGGUGACUGUGUGGGAGGUGUGCUGUGUUUUGAUGCUCUCUGUUUCAGCAACAGCCCACAACAUAGCAGCCUUAUCCACAAAAGCAGACAUAACAGCACAGAGAGCUUAAAGGAUAACCCUGAGGUCAGCCCGAGCCUGAGCUCCAGCAAGCGGCUUAGCAGAAGCAACAUUGACCUAUCUGCCCCCAGUGACUCCCACAGAAGGAAAACCCCUUUCAGCCGCAAACAAAGCGACUCAUAUGACGGAGAUUCCUCAAGCAGCCAGCACAACCCUUUCCUUAGCAGUCUGAUUCAGGAUGAAGUGGACCAGAGACCAGGCAGCAGCACCAGUGUAGUGUUGAAUCCAGGUCACUUUGACUUUGAGGUGUCGGAUUGUUUUCUGCUGGGCUGUCCUCUUGGACUGGUGCUAGCCAUGAGACGCACUGUGCUUCCUGCUCUCCAGGUGUCUCAGCUCCGGCCUGCAUGUUCUCAAAUCUUCAACCUGUUCUACCCCUCUGACCCGUCGGCCUCUAGAUUGGAGCCCCUGCUACACUCCCAGUUCCACAAAUUGCCUCCCUUCCCUGUUCCCCGCUACCAGCGCUACCCACUGGGAGACGGACGUUCCACCCUUAUCGUUGAUGACAUCCACAGCUACCCUGACGUGUUUUUGCAUGGUAGCACUGUUCCGGUGGGCACCCCGCACUCCUCUUACCAGGCGGAAUACAGCACAGGUGGGCAGGUGGGCGUUGAGGUCCGCAGGUCCAGUUUGACCAGCAUGGACAGCCAGUCGUCAGGCUGCUGGGAGAGCAGGCUGAGCAGCACCGUUGCCAACAUCUCCAGCAGCUGGUGGGGCUCUAAGCGUUUGGAUUACGCUCUGUACUGUCCGGACGUCUUGACAGCGUUCCCCACUGUGGCUCUGCCUCACCUGUUCCACGCUUCCUAUUGGGAGUCCACUGAUGUGGUCGCCUUGCUUCUGCGACAGGUGAUGCACUGUGACUAUGUAAAAACCCAAGAAAUGGACAAAUCUGACUCCGCCCCCUUCUCCCCUUCCAGUCCGAGGGAGAAGUGGCUACGCAUGCGCACGCACGUCAAGCUUAGGAAUGUCACCGCCAAUCACAGAGUUAAUGAUGUCAUUGCAACAGAGGACGGGCCGCAGACCCUGGUUGGUCGCUUCAUGUAUGGACCGCUGGAUAUGGUAACCCUGACUGGGGAAAAGGUUGAUUUGUACGUGAUGACCCAGCCCCAGUCAGGUCGCUGGGUGCACUUAGACACUGAGUUGACCAGUAGUAGUGGCAGAGUGACCUACACCAUACCCAAAACCAAAAAGCUGGCUGUGGGAGUCUACCCCAUUAAAAUGGUCGUGAAGGGAGACCAGACGUGUGCAGAGGCCUUUCUGACGGUAUUGCCGCGGGGGAUGGAGUGUGUCGUCUUUAGCAUUGACGGUUCAUUUGCCGCUAGCGUCUCCAUCAUGGGCAGUGAUCCUAAAGUACGGCCUGGAGCUGUGGAUGUGGUCAGACACUGGCAGGACCUGGGCUACCUGAUCAUUUACAUCACUGGCCGUCCAGACAUGCAGAAACAGAGAGUUGUUUCGUGGCUCUCUCAACACAACUUCCCCCAAGGAAUGAUCUUCUUCUCGGAGGGGCUGGUUCACGACCCACUUCGCCAGAAAACCAUCUUCCUCAGGAACUUGGUGCAGGAGUGUCACAUUAAAAUCAACUGUGCCUACGGCUCCAUGAAGGACAUUUCUGUCUACAGCAUGCUUGGCCUCAGCCCCAGUCAGAUAUAUAUAGUGGGACGGCCCUCGAAGAAGUAUCAGAAUCAGUGCCAGUUCCUGUGUGAGGGCUACGCGGUACACCUCUCCUCCCUGCAGUUUAGUCACAGAGCGAGGCCCAAGAAGAGCUCCUCAGUGCGUAUGGUGCUGCGGAAGGGCUCCUUUGGUCUGUCUGCUAAACCUGACUUCCUGUGCAAGCGUACACACCUCCGCCGCACUAUGUCGGUCCAGCAACCCGAUCCGCCCAUCACGGCCAACCCUAAACCAGAGCGAGCUCAGAGCCAGCCUGAGACCGACGAAGACCAUGGGGGCAGAGGAGGAACGGGCCAUAGUGUGUGGGCAAGGGGGUCUGUGCACCGUGGUGACACCACUCCAUGACCAAAGUGAUGGAAAGGAUCUCUUGGUGGACAGAGCCCAGUGAGAGACGGGGAAAAUAAAAGGGGCCAGACCUCAGAGUGAGAGAGAGAGAGAGAGAGAGAGAGAGAGAGAACCGAGCCUGCACGUGUGUGUAUCAGUGCAGCCAACGGUUGAGUUUAUGUCUGAAGCUUCACCAUUACACAGUGAAGCGAACAUGUUUGUGUAUAAAUAAAUUUACCUUUGAGUUGGAUUUGCCGUCUCCCGCUUCCUCAUUCCUCAAAUCUGUUACAACAUUAUUUGAGGUCACAUUUCGUAAUAUUUUAUUUGUUUUAUUUAUGCAAAUUCGUUUAUUUUUCUCACCUGAAUUUUUGAGGAGGCACUGCCUUUAAACCCUCCAACAGUUUUGCCAAUUCACUUCCAUUGUAAGUGCCUCACUGUGGCCUCGAUUUUUGCUUUUUUAACGAAAAGGAGGGAAGAGUCUAAAUAAUUGUUUGUGAUAAUCAACAUUAUGCCAUAAAUGCUGUCGAUUGAGCUUAACUUGUAUUGAACCUGGAAUAUUUCUUAAAUUCACAAUCUCUUUUUGUUUCCCAACCCCACUCACUCUUUGGGUGAACAAGUCCUUUAAUUCUUGAAAAAAGUCUUAUCUUACACAAUUUUGCUUCAAGUAAGUUUUUUUUUUUUUACUUUUUUUAUUGAAAAAACAAGAUAAAAAUACUGAUUAAAAGGGCUAUUUCACCCCAAAAAUGAAAUUUGUCAACAUUUACUCACCCUCAUGUUGUUCCAAACCUGUUGGACUUAUACCGAGUUUACACUACACGAUUUUAGGCCCGAUUUUCAUUCGCUGACAGUUUUGUGAAGAUCACCGACAAAAGCCCGAAAUCAUAGGCAAAUUGGAGCUCGCUCCCGUGAUUGACGAAUGCAAUGUAUGAAUUAUCAAAGAUGCGAACUGAGAGAAUCACCGACGCGUCGCCGAUGUCAGCGAGAUAUCUAGCAUGUUAAAUAUCUGGACCUGUCUGCGAUUCCAAAUCGCGCAAUGUGAAAUGUGUUUUGACUGAAUACAACUGCAGCGUUGACCUACAGCCAAUGAGAGAGCAAGAAACGGGGCACGGGAAGUUUCAGUGGGAGGAGUCCUGAUGUACCUGUAACAGAACAUCAACUAGCAUGGCUGCGGUGUCAAGAAAGUCUCAUUGGACUGAAGAAAUGAAGGAAAAAUUAGUGGAACAUUGGCAGGAGCACCAGUGCCUAUUUGAUGUUUCCUCUGAACUGUACCACAACCGGGUGGAGAAAGAGAAGAGCUGGAGAGAAAUUGCCAAUUCUCUUGGACAGUCAGCAUUUUUACCUCCUCUCGGCCCUCUGCGGAUAUUACACUACAUUAUAAAAUGCAUCUUGCCUGAGAUGAUGAAAACUUCUCAGCGAAGGGCCCUCUGCUCAACAUGGGUCUGACACAACAUACAGUAUAAACCUCGACUCCUGAUGUGUAAACUCUUUUUGAACAGCGGGAACAGAAGAGAAUUCACAAUCUUGUUUCCAAAUUCAAUUUCAUCAGGCAUUUUUUAACCGUGAUGCUCUGAAGAUAUAAGCAUCCCGUACUUUGGAAGCUUCUUAUUGGUUUAUUUUGCAUUAUAUAUGCCUUUUGCCUCUGGAUUUCUGACACAGCGGGAUGUGAUUCUAAGGCGUAUCACCUCCCAUCAGGAUGAAGAGGAGAUCGGAUAAGAUCCUCGGAGAAAACAUCAAAUUUUCAUCAAGCAUCUAAGCAAUACUCACAGUUGAGAGGAGAGGCCGAGUAACCUGCUGCUUGGACAGGUGGCAAUGCUGAUUCUUGCAAUAAUCCCUAUGUUUUAAUAUUGCAGGCAUUUGUCUGCUCUCUGGACGGCUGUCUGCAGGCCGCUUGUGGCCAGACGGACUUGCAAACUGUACAUUAACCUUUUGUACCGGUGUGGCGACCUGACCUGAACUCCGUCGCCGCUGUCUCUGUUAACCAUUCAGCCAGAACAGAAUCUGACAGAGAAGCCCCUGUGCUAAAUUCCGCACACUUUUCUGGGUCACACUAAAAACUUACUGGUCUCUAGUACACCACAGAAGAGCAGCAAUGGGAAUAACUGCAAAAGCAUAUUUACAGCCCUCAGUGGUUUUUCUUGUGCACUCAUGUUGUAAAUAUAAGUGGCACUGAGAUGAAUUGAGUAUAUUUUGAUGUAUCUGCGUGUGGCAAUAGCUUACUACUGUAGUGCUUGUUUUUACAGGCCAAACAACCAUUGUAAAUUUGUAUUGUAAUGGUUUUAAGUGACUGUGGUUGUCAAGAACUAUUUUGUAAUAAUGUUACUUUAAUCAGUUUAUCAGUAUGCCAUCUUAAAAGGGUAAGUUCACCCAAAAAUGAAAAUUCUCUCAUUAGUUUCACACCAUUAUGUCAUCUCAAACUCAUAUGACUUUCUUUCUUCUGCAGAACACAAAGAUAUUUUGAAGAAUUUUUUAGGUGUUUUUGUCAAGGAGUUUAACACUUUUUAAGCUCCAAAAAGAACUUAAAGGCAGCAUAAAAGUUAUUCAUACGAAUCGAGUGGUUUAAUCCAUGUCUUCUGAAGCGAUAUGAUAGCUUUUGGAAACCCACAAAACUUCUGCCCAGCGAGAACAUGCAAACGUGAAUGUGUCAAGAGUGAGGAUGCGUGGAAAAGCUUCUCUUGUGAACGUGCAAAGGAGAGCUGGGCGGAAGUAAAGAUUUUUGUGAAUAAGGAUGGAAUUUUUGCUUUGUUUCUCACUCAAAGCUAUAAUAUUGCUUCAGAAGACAUGGAUAAAACCACUUGAGUCGUAUGGAUUUCUUUUAUGCUGCCUUUUUGGAUCUUGAAAGUUUUAAACCCCAUUGACUUGCAUUGUAUGGACAAAAACACACAAUUCAUCCUUUAAAAUAUCUUCGUUGGUAGCACUUCACAAUAAGGUUCCAUUCGUUAACAUUAGUUAAUGCGUUAGGUAUCAUGAACUAACAAUGAUCAAUAUACAGUAUUUUUACAGCAUUUAUUAAUCUUUGUUAAUGUUAGUCCAUAAAAAUACAGUUGUUCAUUGUUCGUUUAUGUUAGUUCAUAGUCCAUUAACUAAUGUUAACAUAUACAACUUUGAAUUUUCAAAAUGUAUUACCAUAUGUUGAUAUUAACAUUAAACAAGAUUAAUAAAUGCUUUUAAAGUAUUGUUCGUUGUUAGUUCGUUAACUAAUGUUGUUAACUAGUUAACUAACUAAUGUUAACAAAUGAAACCUUUUUGUAAAGUGUUACCUCUUUGUUUGUGUGUAGAGGAAAGAAAGUCAUAUGAGUUUGAGACGGCAUGAGGGUGAGUAAAUCAUAAGAGAAAAUGAUCAUUUUUGGGCGAACUACCCCUUUAAGGGUUGUUCACACAGACAGUGGUUUGCAGUGAUAGUUGCAGUUGCACAAUCAGUACAUUUAUAUGCACAAUUAUAAUCGAGCUACAGCAUUUUGUUGCAUGAUCAAGCUGCAGUUUUCAUCUAAGUAUUCAUGACAAUGCGUAAUCAAAUAUUUGAAGGACGGACUGCAAAUACGGCGGGUUAAAUACACGGCACGCUUCACUGUCUUUCAGAUUAUGCACACAAUGACGAGGCCUGUUCGACGAAGUUGAGGUACAAUCGCAUUAUAUAGGGCUCUUAGUUCGACUUCAUAAAAAUCAGACUGGUGCAUGCUAACAUGACAUGACAAAGGACGAAUUAUUGAUUUAGUCCGACUGAAAUGGAACUUUUAAAGACCAUGUGAAUGCAGACAGUGAAGCUCACGUGAUCUGCCUCAUGAUCACUUGGAUACAGUGUGAACGCAUCUUUACACAAAUAGACAUUGAUAUUGUUUACAUGUCAGUUCAUCUCACACUUGAGUAUGAUGGCCUUGUUGAAGAACAUACUGUACUAUAUUAGUAUCAUAUUCUAUACUCGAGGAAAACCUAGUGUUACAAUAAAUGUAUGAUUACUGUGUUUGAACAAAGGACAUUAAUCAGGCCCUCUAUAGGACUGGCCUGUAUUUGAAAUUAUGAUGACUCAGCCUGAAGGUGUCCAUAGAUCUUGUAAUGUCACGCUUUCCUAUUGUAGUUACUUACUUUUGGUAUUUUGUAUGGGGCUGUCUAUUGAAAAAUUUAUUUUACAAUUCGACAAGAAAUGUAUGUAAUUUUAUUUCCUUGUAUAUUUAAAUGUAAAGGUUUGUAGUACCCUAAGAUUGUGUGAAAAGGACUUGAGUGUUUUGGUUUGUGUGGGUCUGUAUUUAUGUGUGCAUGUACUUAUGCGAGUCUUAGCAUAUUUCAAAAGGUGAGUGUUUGUUUGGAGAUUUUGUAUUUAUUGUACAUAUUUGUAAUUUAGAAAUCGUGGCCUUUGGUUUCCCCACGUGGAUCUUCGGAUAGUUAAAGUUAUAAACUGAGCCUGUAAUUUGUGUGAGUGGAACUACGACCAUGGAGAUUUUGUAGACACACUCUAUUUUUAAUUCUUACAUGUUUGAUCAUUACACAAGGUUUAGAGCAGUGUUACUUAUGAAUUGUCAAUAUACUAUAAAUGAACACAUUUUCAGGCUUAUCAAUAUGUAUAUUUACUUGUCUAAUAUCUAUAUUCUCAGAUGGUGUGUGAUUAAAGUAUAUUUGUAUUUUAAAAAGAUGUUCCACAUGUAAAGUAAAUAUUCAGUGUUUCACAACAUAAACUGCGCUAAUGGGAAGCAAAAAGGACUCUUGGCAAAAUGUAUAAUUUUGGUAUAUGGUCCAGUUGGUCUUUUUCAGUGGAUGUGCUUCUGUUGGACCUGUACCAAACUGUAUAAACAAAUAUGCUUCAUUUUCAGUCCUUCAAUAAACCAGUCAGUAAAG